UCUCUCACAUCCGGAAAUAAGGUACCUUUGCGUAUUAUUUAUAAUCUAUUUUGGAAAUACUCUCUCUCACAUCUCUUUAUAACUUGCCAUUUUGCAUUGCAGAGAAAGGAAAAUCCUCUUCAUCUUUUUUUGUUUGAUGUGACCGGAUCAUCCCCAAGACUCUCAUGUCCAAAGAGGUCUGUGACUUUAUCUGGGUUUUGUCUUCUGGAUAUGUUGCAGUUGUUGUGUUGUAAUGAUGCAAUGGUGCAUGAUGUUAUUGAAAUGUUGGGUUUUUGUUUAUCAGAUAACAGAAGAAACUGUGGAGGAAGUGAAACCUGUAGCCGACAUGCACCAAAGGAAAGCUCAGUGCAAUGAAGACAGCAAGAAGUGGAUACUUUGUUUUAUUUAGAUUGGCUCCCAUUUAGGUCCCUUUUCCCCUCUGAGGCAUGUGAAGUUAAUUCAUGAUUUAUUCUCUCGAAUAUGGUCUUGUGCAUAUUGUUUUGGAGAGGAAUAAAAGUGUCUAUCAAGAUUAUUCAAACAAGUACUAAGACAAUGAUCACUGUGGAUUGGUUAAAGUAUGCAAGUCAUGUUUCUCUUAGAAUAAUCUUAUAUGACUAGCUGUCAAUUUUUGAAGACUUUUCUGAAAAAGCUAUUACAGAACAAUAACAUAUCAAGACCAAUUCCAGGAGAGCUAGGGAGGCUCUUUCAACUUCAGACACUUGAUCUUUCAAAUAAUUUUUUCACUGGUAAAAUUCCAUCUUCAUUGAGCCAGAUGCAAAAGCUCCAAUACCUUUAAGUAGGAAAAUUGGUGAGCUGAAACACUACCAUUGUCCCUUCUGUUUCUCUUUUUCCUAAUUUUGAACUUUCUUAGUUUCUGUCUCAUUAGGAAUUUGCAUUUUGAGAUUUUUUUGUGUGAAUCUAAUCAUGAGCUUUGAAUUGGAUCGAGAGGAUUAACAAUAACAAUUUUUAUGGAGAAUUUCCUGUCUUUGGCUAACACGACCCAACUUGCCUUUCUAUAAUCUCUUGACUUAUUGCAUCUUCAACCCUCUUUCCCUCUCUAAUUGAAUUUGUACCUUU